ensembl:snRNA U6 U6 spliceosomal RNA
GUGCUCGCUUUGGCAGCAUAUAUACUAAAACUGCAGUGAUACAGAGAAGAUUAGCAUGGCCCUUGUGCAAAGAUGACAGGCAAAUUCAUGAAGCGUUCCAUAUCUUU